CCUACGGGCGGCAGCAGUGAGGAAUAUUGGUCAAUGGGCUUACGCCUGAACCAGCCAAGUCGCGUGAGGGAAGACUGCCCUAUGGGUUGUAAACCUCUUUUGUCAGGGAGCAAUUGGCGCUACGUGUAGCGGUAUCGAGAGUACCUGAAGAAAAAGCAUCGGCUAACUCCGGGCCAGCAGCCGCGGUAAUACGGAGGAUGCUAGCGUUGUCCGGAUUUAUUGGGUUUAAAGGGUGCGUAGGCGGAAUGCCAAGUCAGCGGUUAAAUCGCGGGGCUCAACCUCGCUCCGCCGUUGAAACUGGCGUUCUGGAGUGGGCGAGAAGUGUGCGGAAUGCGUGGUGUAGCGGUGAAAUGCAUAGAUAUCACGCAGAACUCCGAUUGCGAAGGCAGCAUACCGGCGCCCAACUGACGCUGAAGCACGAAAGCGUGGGUAUCGAACAGGAUUAGAUACCCGAGUAGUC
rnacentral:rRNA from 1 species